UACGUAGGGUGCAAGCGUUGUCCGGAAUUAUUGGGCGUAACGAGCUCGUAGGCGGUUUGUCGCGUCUGGUGUGAAAAUCCAGGGCUUAACCCUGGACCUGCAUCGGGUACGGGCAGACUAGAGUGCGGUAGGGGAGAUCGGAAUUCCUGGUGUAGCGGUGAAAUGCGCAGAUAUCAGGAGGAACACCGGUGGCGAAGGCGGAUCUCUGGGCCGUAACUGACGCUGAGGAGCGAAAGCAUGGGGAGCGAACAGG
rnacentral:rRNA from 1 species